rnacentral:rRNA from 1 species
GCGGAAGGUUGCUGCUAUUGGAGUUCGACUAAGCCAUGCAAGUUCUCUCUCUUCGGAGGGAUGCAGAAUGCUCAGUAACACGUCAAUAAUCUGGCCUUAGGUCAAGGAUACCCUCGGGAAACUGAAGUUAAACCUUGAUAAGAGAAUGUUAGUGGAAUGAUUAUUUCUCUUAAACUCGUGCCUAAGGAUGAGUCGGCGGUCGAUUAGGUUGUUGGUGAGGUAAAGGCUCACCAAGCCCACGAUCGGUACGGGCCCUGAGAGGGGUAGCCCGGAGAAGGACACUGAGAUACUGGUCCUAGCCCUACGGGGUGCAGCAGGCGCGAAACCUUUACAAUGCACGCAAGUGUGAUAAGGGAAUCCAAAGUGCUAUACUUUUAGUAUGGCUUUUGCCAAGAGUAAAUAUCUUGGCGAAUAAGUGGUGGGAAAGACUUGUGCCAGCCGCCGCGGUAACACCAGCGCCACAAGUGGCAAUCGCUUUUAUUGGGCCUAAAGCGUCCGUAGCCGGUUCUAUAAAUUUUCUGUGAAAUCGUUGUACUCAAUAUAACGACGUGCAGAAAAGACUGUAGAACUAGGGACCGGGAGGCGUCAGAGGUAUUCAGGAGGGAGCGGUAAAAUGCUAUAAUCUCCUGAGGACCCCCUGUGGCGAAGGCGUCUGACGAGAACGGAUCCGACGGUGAGGGACGAAAGCCAGGGGAGCGAACCGGAUUAGAUACCCGAGUAGUCCUGGCUGUAAACUCUGCGAGCUAGGUGUUGCAUAUUCUCCGAGAAUAUGCAGUGUCGAAGCGAAGGUGUUAAGCUCGCCGCCUGGGAAGUAUGGUCGCAAGACUGAAACUUAAAGGAAUUGGCGGGGGAGCACUACAAGGGGUGCGGCGUGCGGUUUAAUCUAAUUCAACACAGAGAAUCUCACCAGGAGCGACGGCAGGAUGAAGGUCAGUCUAAAGGGCUUACCAGACGAGCCGAGAGGUAGUGCAUGGCCGUCGUCAGCUCGUGCUGUAAAGUGUCCUGCUAAGCCAGGCAACGAGCGAGACCUGUAUCUACAAUUGCUACCGACUCUUUUAGGAGGUUCGGGCACAUUGUGGAGACUGCCUUGGAAACAGGGAGGAAGGCGCAGGCUACGGUAGGUCUGUAUGCUCCGAAUCUUCUGGGCUACACGCGCGCAACAAUGGUAAGGACAAUGUGAUGCAACUCUGAAAAGAGAAGCUAAUCCUCUAAACCUUAUCUUAGUCUAGAUUGAGGAUUGUAACUCAUCCUCAUGACACCGGAAUCUCUAGUAAUCAGAUGUCAACAUCAUCUGGUGAAUAU